GAGGGUAUAGCUCAGUGGUAGAGCAUUUGCUUAGCAUGCAUGAGGUCCUGGUUCAACCCCUAGCACCUCCA
rnacentral:tRNA from 1 species